rnacentral:ncRNA from 2 species
GUAGCCUUGCUGAUUCGAGGUUCUCCCCGGGUAAAACAUCACCCAGUGGAGCUAAGACGGGAAUGCGGUACAUGCCGCAGCUGCCCCCGCAACUGUAAACGGUCAUGUUCAUUGCACAGCCACUGCUGCGGCGGGAAGGCGCGAUGAAUGCGUGUCGGCACAUUAUUCAUUGUCUGCCGCACGCCGCCGUGAGCCAGGAGACCUGCCUCGAACGGGCCACACAU